AUGUACACAAGCCUAAAGGCCCACAAAACGUGGAUCUGCUGUGGCCUGAGGAGCGGCACUGACUCACCCUCUGGAGACCACACCAGAACUCCUGUCCCUCCUGCCCUCCCGUGGGUGAGCCCUUGCACGCCCCACCAGCACAGCACGCUGUCACUACCGCAUCACUGCUCUCAAGUCGAAGCGCCCCUCCUGGGCUCAGCGGGCAGCAGCCACAGGCAUGUCCCAGGGGGCAUGAGUCUCCGGAGCCCUCACCCUCCUGCACACUCCCCUGUUCAGCUUUCUGAUGGGUCUAGACGAUCUCACAAAUUAGCUUCUGAGCAUCACGUCGGUGUACAUUUAUCAAAGGGGCUCUUCCUCAGGCCGGCGUGGGAGAAGUCACGUAGUCCUAGUCCUCUCCGCAGGACAUGGGAUUCUCUUCUUUCCAAGACUAGGUUGUCACUCUAACAAGGCACUCUGCUAUACAUUCAGUCUUGGUCUUUGCUACUCCCCCCAUUUCCCUGUUUCUCUAGCACCAAAAUGUGUCAGAGAAAUUGUUCUUGCUCAUGCGGCUUAAGGUAAAGUCCCAAUGAUGGCUUAAUUGUUCAAACUCUCAAUAUAAAUGGAAGAAUCUGUAGCACAGACUUCAACAGAAUAGAAAAAAAUUCCAAUUAAUAUUGAAGACAAUAACUGGAUGUUACUCGAGAAAACAUAAAGUGCUAAUACUAGUCAUAAAGCAAAACUCAUGUAUAUACAGAUGUCUGAAGGUAGGAUUUCUUGCCAGUUGAUGAAUGAAUUCAAAGAUUCUACUAUAAUUAAAAUGGGACUGUAAAAAACUACUUGUGAUGAUAUUAGAUUGACUGAAUUUCAUUAUUCUGGAAAAAUAUUCCAAGGACCAUCUGAUGGAGAACUUCUUGUCUAGAAAUACAGUUAUCUUGUCUGUUCUGCUCUAACACCCCUUUCCCUCUCCCUCACAUUCCUCAGCCACCACUCAGAGAAAAAUUAAUCUAGCCACCUGCCUUUGGGAAGCCUGAGGCCCUUCUCUGACUAGUUGGCAUUCAUCUUUUGGCCUUCACAAAUUUGAAUAUAAAAACAGUACUAAACAAAUCUGAUGUGAAGGAGGUGCUCAGUUUACCAGUGCUGAAAGAUGACGGUAGUGGGGAGUGUCCAUGCCUAUAAUACCAUAGGGUUAAAAUGAAGAAGACUGGAUCCAAGUCAAACAGAAAAAAAAAUAAAAUAAAAUAAAAAAGAAGAGAAAUGAAAGAG
rnacentral:lncRNA from 1 species